CUCUAUAUAAGUGAUCGAGUUGGCAUUACAAAUCGUACUACUCGGCAGCAAAUACAGGAAGCCAACAACAAUGGCACAGAAGUACUCAACGGCCUCGGUUAGGCUGAUGCUGACCCUCCUCGUUCUGCUGGUUUUCGUUGGUAGCAUCCUCGCCAAAGGUGCUCGUGGACCAUCCAAAUGUAGCGAAGCCUUUCAAGGAAAUUGCCCACCAAUCCAUGGUGGCUCAUAAGUACUUGAUCGAUGGACCAUUUCUAAGCCGCGAGCAGGAUUUAGCAGGAUCUCGAUCGUGCUUGGGCAGCGGCUUAUGUACUAUAUAUGUUCUCGACGUGUAGUCGAUCAGUGUGCAUGUUCUUCGGAUUGGUGCUUGUACUGGUUAUAGAAAAAUAAAAAGUGUUUGUGUUGCAAACCAAAUAUUGCAACCUUUUGUCUUUAA